GGCGCACGGGUGAGUAACGCGUAGGUAAUCUACCCUUAUAUCUGGGAUAACAUUGGGAAACUGGUGCUAAUACCGGAUACACUUCCAAGCUGCGGGGCGAGGGAGGAAAGGUGACCUCUUCAUGAAAGUUACCGUAUAGGGAUGAGCCUGCGUACCAUUAGCUAGUAGGUGGGGUAACGGCCCACCUAGGCGACGAUGGUUAGCGGGUCUGAGAGGAUGAUCCGCCACACUGGAACUGGAACACGGACCAGACUCCUACGGGAGGCAGCAGUGAGGAAUAUUGCGCAAUGGGGGAAACCCUGACGCAGCGACGCCGCGUGAGUGAGGAAGGCCUUCGGGUCGUAAAGCUCUGUCAGAAGGGAAGAAGUGUUAUACGGUUAAUACCCGUAUAAUUUGACGGUACCUUCAGAGGAAGCACCGGCUAACUCCGUGCCAGCAGCCGCGGUAAUACGGAGGGUGCGAGCGUUGUUCGGAAUUACUGGGCGUAAAGGGCGCGUAGGCGGCUGGAUAAGUCAGAUGUGAAAGCCCACGGCUUAACUGUGGAAGUGCAUUUGAAGCUGUCCGGCUUGAGUAU
rnacentral:rRNA from 1 species